rnacentral:snRNA from 1 species
AAACUUAUCUGGCGGAGGAGAUGUUACAGUCAUGAAGAUGGUUUCCCCAGGGGUGAGGCUUACACACUGCCUUCUAAGUGUGCGGAUACCAGCGAUUUCCCCAAACGUGGGAAACCCGACUGCCUAAUUGACAGCAGCUGUGGAUUUCGUUCAUAC